CAGUUACUGAGCAGAGGCAACAUUUGAAGUAGGCCUUAAACAUGAAUCUUUUGAUUUAUGUCCUACUUCUGUCCAUUUGGACAACUAAAUGUUCAAAUAUAAGCAGACAUAAUGAAUCUUCUACUGUAGGUCUUAAGUCUCCUGAUGCUUACUCAGAAGACUCGGACAUGUUUAAGAAACAUCUAAUCAACAUUGUAACUGGAAUUAUGUUCGUGAUCUUUUUAUCUACUUGUUUUUGCAUGAUUCAUUAUAAUUGCAUGAUUGAACCCCUCAAAGAUAACUCAGUCAAAAAUGAAGGUACAGGAACCACAUUAUCCUGUCCACCUGUACUACCACUCAACGACUCCAAGAAAAACGAUUUGAAUUUGUGUAGUCCAAAAAAACAAGGCCUGCUAUCUAAUAAAGGCAAUUUACCUAGGCCUUCAACUACAGAAACAUCAUCCAUACCAUCCAGUGCAGGAAAGUUAAACAAGCAAUUAAGGUCCAAAAAGUCAUUCAAGUCAUCAAGCCGUGCAGAAGCAUUCAAAUCACCUUACCUGAAAAAGUCACAUAAGAUGCGGCUGAAAAAGAAACGUAAGCUAAAUUAUAUCCAUAAGCAUGCUGCACAAGUCCAUUCAGCUGAGGAAGUCAGGGUACUUUUGCAAGAUAAUCUACAGUCUCUAGGAGGACCUUAUCCAGAAAAUCAAACGCUGCCAGCCAAACCAAUGAAACUGAACAAACCACCUAAAACUCAUCGUCCAAAAAUGUCAGGGAGUGCAGGAAAGACACACAUGGUACCCAAACCCCGAUCAAGCACAUCUUGUCACUAUUACAAGGAAAGAUGCCUUGUUUGCAAAACUUCUAAGACUUUAGCCAGUAUGUCUGAAAAAAAGAAAAAAGCUGAAUGUCUUCCUGUUUCAAGUGAAAUAAUAUCUUUUUCUAGGUCCCUUUAUAAGGUAGAUUCCCAGGACCAUGCAUACAUUGCUAAUGUGGGUGACAAUGGUACAAUUGACAGUGAUGAUGACAGUGAUAAAGAGAUUACCAUUAUUUUAAAUGUAACGAGCAACGAUUUAUUCCUAAGGGCACCUUACAAGAAUUAAGGGCUCAAUAAAAAUAACAACUAUAAAGGAGCAGAUUUAUGCCAACUAUUUUAUGGUUGCCUUCACUUAAGACACUAGUAGAAAAUCUACUUCUGAUGACCAUCAAGAUUACACCUAUCCAUCUUUGAGGCAAUGUAUCUUAAAAAUCUCUAUUAAAUGCUCGAUAUAGCAAAUCACUCCUGUGUUUUUUAUUGUAUUUUAGAGGUGCACAGCUCUUUUGACUUAUCUAC
rnacentral:lncRNA from 1 species